rnacentral:sRNA from 1 species
AAAACUCGAGUACCUCUGAGGGAAAGCCGGACCCCUUUUCCAUCCUCUCCUGUUGGAGGGAUGAGGAGUUCAAAGGUCACGUCCACACAGAGGGUGACAGAGGCAUCCUCUCCGCGCAGGACGCGGACUGGGGGCAGGCACGCAGCGCCACCCGGAUCCUGGAGUCGUCAAGAAAAACGCGGGCGGGCAGGCCGAAGAGGAAAUCACUGUGUUUUCAGCUCAGCGGCCCUGUGACAUUCCUUCGUGUUGUCAUUUGUUGAGUGACCAAUCAGAUGGGUGGAGUGUGUUACAGAAAUUGGCAGCAAGUAUCCAAUGGGUGAAGAAGAAGCUAACUGGGGACGUGGGCAGCCCUGACGUGAUGAGCUCAACCAGCAGAGACAUUCCAUCCCAAGAGAGGUCUGCGUGACACGUCGGGGAGGCCACCCUCAGCAAGACCACCGUACGGUUGGUGGAAGGGGUGACAGCUGCAUUCUCCUGUGCCUACCACGUAACCAAAAAUGAAGGAGAACUACUG